GUGAAUCAUCGAAUUUUUGAACGCAUAUCGCACUCUCUGGUAUUCCGGAGAGUAUGCCUAUUUGAGGGUCAUUUGAAAUAAUAUAAAUUCCAAUUUUUCUCGGAAUUUAAAAUGGGUGGUCCAUUUUUUUGGGCCGCCUAAAAUCCAAGACAACAUCAUUUUCUUGGUUUGCGUGAUACUUU
rnacentral:misc_RNA from 1 species